rnacentral:lncRNA from 1 species
AUCAACCUAUGCCGUUGGUUUUGCGGGCUAACCAACCAACCUUUACAAGUAGUUUAAUAAACAAAGGAAGAAGAUUUAAACUCCUAGAUGAGCAAAUAUAACAAUAUAAUCUACAAAAAAGAGUUUAGAGAAUAUUUAUUGCUUGAUGUGACUUCUCUCUUCUUUGUUAAGGAUGCUUCACUCUUCAAGGGUGGAUGGAGCUCUUGAUGACUCUUUGAAUCUGCUCAACCACUUUCUUUUGAUUCUUGAAUGAAGCACUUGGAUGAAGCUUGCCUUGCUAGG